rnacentral:rRNA from 1 species
AGUGGAUGGGGAGCAACCUAGUUGUGCGUGUGUAAAGGUAGUGCCAAGAAAAGCGGUGAUCAUGAUGAAAAUCAAUUCCCGGUACCCGAAACCGACACAGGUGGGCAAGUAGAGAAUACUAAGGGGCGCGAGGUAACUCUCUCCAAGGAACUCGGCAAAAUGACCCCGUAACUUAGGGAGAAGGGGUGCCACCGAGAGGUGGUCGCAGUGAAGAGGCCCAGGCGACUGUUUAGCAAAAACAUAGGUCUCUGCAAACUCGAAAGAGGAGGUAUAGGGGCUGACGCCUGCCCAGUGCCGGAAGGUUAAAGAAGUUGGUCAGUCUUAGGAUAAAGCUAGCGACUGAAGCCCCGGUGAACGGCGGCCGUAACUAUAACGGUCCUAAGGUAGCGAAAUUCCUUGUCGGGUAAGUUCCGACCCGCACGAAAGGCGUAACGAUCUGGGCGCUGUCUCGGAGAGAGGCUCGGCGAAAUAGGAUUGUCUGUGAAGAUACGGACUACCUGCAUUUGGACAGAAAGACCCUAUGAAGCUUUACUAUAGCUUGGAAUUGUGUUCGGGCUUCCUGUGCGCAGGAUAGGUGGGAGGCGAAGAAGGUAUUCUUGUGGGGAUACUGGAGCCAACGGUGAGAUACCACUCUCAGGAGGCUAGAAUUCUAACUUAAUUAAGGACAGUUUCAGGUGGGUAGUUUGACUGGGGCGGUCGCCUCCAAAAAGGUAACGGAGGCGUACAAAGGUUCCCUCAGACUGGUUGGAAAUCAGUCGCAGAGUGCAAAGGCAGAAGGGAGCUUGACUGCGAGAAGUACAGUCCGAGCAGGGUGGAAACACGGUCUUAGUGAUCCGACGGUGCUGUGUGGAAGGGCCGUCGCUCAACGGAUAAAAGUUACUCUAGGAUAACAGGCUGAUCUCCCCCAAGAGUUCACAUCGACGGGGAGGUUUGGCACCUCGAUGUCGGCUCAUCGCAACCUGGGGCGGAAGUACGUCCCAAGGGUUGGGCUGUUCGCCCAUUAAAGCGGUACGUGAGCUGGGUUCAGAACGUCGUGAGACAGUUCGGUCCAUAUCCGAUGUAGGCGUGAGAAUAUUGAGAGGAGCCUUCCUUAGUACGAGAGGACCGGGAAGGACGCACCGCUGGUGUACCUGUUAUGAUGCCAAUUGUAAACGCAGGGUAGCCAAGUGCGGAGAGGAUAACCGCUGAAAGCAUCUAAGUGGGAAGCCCACCUCAAGAUGAGUAUUCUGGUGUAAGGUCACGGGAAGACGACCCGUAAAUAGGCACGAGGUGGAAGUGCCGAGAUGUAUGAAGCCGAAGUGUACUAAUAGACCGUCGGCUUGAC